rnacentral:tRNA from 1 species
GGAGAGGUGGCCGAGCGGUAAGGCAGCGUCCUGCUAAGGCGUGGUCUGGUCAUCUGGCGAUGGCUGGCGAGGGUUCGAUCCCCUCCCUCUCCG